CUAGAGCAGGCCAGAGCGGCUGCGCAGACUGGCAGCCAAUUAGGGAGGGCCUGUGGGAGAGCCAAUCAGGGCCAGGGCUCAGCCCUAUAUAAAAGCUGCCCAGGAGCAGCCUAGGCAGUUGCUCCCAGACCUUCAAGGGAGAAGGUCUGUCUCCUGAGGGAAGAAUACCUGGACAGUGCAGCAUAGGCUUGGGGGAGCUGAGGAGAGCUCCAGCCCAAUACCUGCCAGGCUGCAGGCCCUGACUGGAAGGGCCUAGAGGGUGCGAGGGGCCAGAGGGGAAUUAGCUCAGGGAGGAUAGAUGAGCAAGAGACAAGAAGGAGGGCAGGGAGGCUGCUGCUAGAGGGUCCCUGGUCCAGGACCCAGAGUAGCAGGUAGGCCUGGGUCUCCCCCCAACCCCUUUCCCCUCACAUUGCGUGCACCUGGCUGACUGCAACGUGCCCCACACGUGAGAGGCUAGACUUUGGGUUGUGGUUGGCCAAUGCAGCAGAAGUGAGCAGAAAGACUGUUGUUAAAAGCCCCCUGCCCCUGGAAGGGUGUGAGGAUGGACUAAGGGGCACUGUUGGAGGGCAGUGACCAGAAGCGGAUAUUGCCGAGCAGGAAGCAAUGUGGGUCCGGAUACCAAUAGGGGAGCAAAUGAUGGAUGGGAUAUCACCAGCAGAGGGCACCCUGCAGAGGACAGAGCUAAUUCCCAGACGUGCCAGCGGGAGGCGCUGUGGUGAAUGACUGUUUUUACAGUGGAUAAAGGAACUGAAAUAGUUCAGUCAACUGAUUAGUCUGAUACUACAUCUCUGGCAGUGGAACACAAUGGAUGUUUCAGAGGAAAACAUAAAAGCUAACUGUAUCAUAAGGAGGAAAAGACUUCCCUAUCUCUGUUUAUGAUCAUCUUACACAUUGAAGAGGAAUAAGGGCUGAUACCCUUUGUACUUUUAUUCUAGCUAGUGCAACUACAGCUGCUAUUUUUAUUCACAUAAAAUGUCUAUACAGCAGAUUUUCUC